rnacentral:lncRNA from 10 species
CGAAUAUUUAAUGUUGAGAGCAACCCAUGGUGCCAUGUGGUUAGUAUAAAUAGCACAGAAGCUGCAGCCAAAAGGAGAGCAGCGCAUAUAUUCACAGAAAGAAUAUAGGUGACUUAAAACUUCCCCGGCAGAACUUCACUGAAACAGCUCUGGAAAGAGCGGUGACAGUUAACCAGAAGGUAGCAAAGAAGAGUAAAAAUGAAGCAAAGAAAAAUGAGAAAUGGAAAUCCAGACCUCUGAGAAGGAGCACUGCUCAGCUGAUAGUGGGAUCUUUGAGCUUGGGAUGGGGAUGAGAAGAGAAAAUAGAGCUGGUUCUGCAAGCAAACUGGAUCCAGAUACUUCAGAAAGGAACUACUGCCACUAUGAUUUGUAGACCUUCCCACGUACCCUUAUGGACAGAGUCAAACAUGGAGCUGUUGGCAAAGCAGAAAUGUGGUCUGCAGAGUUUGAGCCCCAGUGUCACAAAGCAGAGUGUAAAAGGGUAAAUAACAGCUUACAAGCAGAAGUCACGAAGAUCUUACUGAAAAUAACCAUAACAUAAUCUUUCAUCUAAAGACUUUCCUGGCUCCUCCUGUAUAGUGCUUUACUUUGCUGAACUUGCAUACACACCAGGUUAAUUUAUAGUUGGAGAAAAGCCUUAUAACUCUUAAAGCCCCCUAACUCACUCUCCAGCUUCCAAGGACACAGGGGUUAUGUCAACAUGCUGGGAUGCUAUAGGGACAUUAAAAUGACAAACGUGCUAACUAAUGUCAAUAUAUGGACAUGGUAAUACAAAAUUUAAAAAUUAAAAAAAAAAAUCCCAGAAGACAACAUCCUAGGGGUACUUAUAUAUAACAAUGUAAAGUUUAUAGAUGUACAUGAAAAGAUUGGAAGUAAAAUUGGAAUAAUGUGAAUUAAAUUGAAAUAAGUCAUUGUACCUCAAUGUUCCAUUUUUUCUUUCUAUAAAAUUGUGCAAGUUCAUAAUUGUUUUUUUAAAGAAAAAAUGAGAAAAUUUGCUCAUUUGUGUUUCCCAAACUGCUUCUCUAUUAGAUCUGUGUCCAUGCCAAUGGUUUUUUUUUUUUGUAUCUUCUUUGAACAAAUAAAGUAAUGUUGGUUUUGUCUGACCUAUAACCCCAGCUUUUUAAACACUUUAUGCUUUUACAGCUGUUUAGUAUAAUAUCAUAGACUGAGUAGAGUUUGCCCUCUGAAUUAAUUUUCAAAAUAAGAUCAAUAUGUACAAUUAAAGAAAAUCACUAUAAAAACUAUACUAUCUAUCAUACAACAUAUCGUUGGCUCUCUUGGUUUUUAAAAGUAGUAACAGUGCCUGACUUUGUCCUGCUUUGUGCAGAAUGAGACAUGAUGAAAGUAUUUUGUGUGCUGACAAUAAAACACAGUGGAGAGGAAAAGGAAAAAGCUGCUCCUGUGAAAAUGCUUUCCUUCAAUAGGAAACUCUUCGUUCCUGGUUGAAGAGGCACGGAGAAAACACAGCCAUGAAAACACAGUUCUUCUUCUAGUCACAAACAUGCCUUUGGCACUGAUCAAGGCACCCCCCAAGGAUGAGGGCUGGGGCAAAGGACUAUUAAACUAGAAUGUUCUCAAUUUUUCUUUUACUGUCUCAAGGCCAUCUAGUAAAUGUUCUUGCAACUACACCCUCUUUCUCCUCAUCAUUUCUGUUCUUCUCUUUAUUUUUUCCGUCCAUCUUAAAGGAAGGUUAUUCUAAAAGUUCAAUUCAAUAUCACCACUAUAUAUAAGAUAAUUACCAUGUGAAAGAUAUCCCAAAAUCUCUAAAAAAAUUUAUUUUCCCCUUUAAGCUAGCUUGAGUGUAGCCAAUGACAUCCUAACAUACAUGCUUAUUUCUUGUAAAACAAAGUUCAAACUCGUAAGAACUGUGUUCAGAGCACUCCAUAAUCUGGCCUUCAUUCACGUUCUGAGGCUUAUUGCUUACAGAUUCUUAAUUAAAACCUUUCUCCAAGCAGCCUGCUGUCUUCUGUAUUUGUAAACCCACCUGGCUCAUUCUUCUACCAACCACGCCUUCGCUCACUUCAAUCUCACUUCCAUUGCUUUCUAUAAACCCCAGUCAUCUUUCAAAACUCACUUAUUUUAAAGCUCUUUCACAGCAGAGACUACUCUUUGGAUUAUCUGUAGCGUUUUUUGUUUGUUCAAUUGACUUGGCAUUUUUCACACACACUCAUGAAUCAUUAUUGCUUUUUCUGUCUGUGUAUGAAAAAAACUGUAAGAUCCAUGGGUUCAGAAACCACAUAUUUUGCUUGUUUUCUAAAGGGGAAGCAGAAACAAACACCUUCUCAUUCACUACUGAUGGAUGCCAUGAGACUUCCAAAACUCAUGCCCAAAUAGGAGAUUACUCUUUUCGCCUAGGCAAUGAAGUACAAUCCUUACACUUAUUCACUAAAUCCGUGUUUACUGAGUGCAUUUUAAGUGCCAGGUACUGGAGACACUUAUACGCAAAAGAAUCUGCCCUUGUGGGCCUCACGGCUGACUGUGGCACAAACAGGUCAUCUGCAGCCUAGCCCAGAGCACAGAUGGUAAGGAACAUGGUCCCUCAGGUAAGAGAAGGUGAGAGUACUGAGCUGACAGAGGGGGAGAGCGCUGAGAGUCCAAUGUCUUCAGUUGCAGGUGUUUUGUGAAACCAACAAGACUUCACACCUGUUGACACUUUAUAGGGGAUAGAUACACAGCAUUGCUUCAGAACGCUUCCUUCUAGAAUUUGAGUUCAGCUGAGCUAGAGACACAGAAUCUAGCCUGAUGGAAAUACCAGCUUGAUUGCUGUGAAAAACCAGGAUGAGCAUGCAACCUAGAUUUGUGGCAACUGGGAACACGAUUUUUCCCCUGAAAUAAACUCACUCCCCAGCAGCUGGCCUUGCCUGCAGACAGCAUUAUCCCAAUUAAGCUCACGGCCUACCCGGAAGGAAACCGGGACCUGAGGCAAAUCAGCCUCUAGCCCAGGUGAGAAUUUUGAGAGAAACAGAGAAGGUAAUUCAGAGUUCCCACACUCUGCUUCUGGAAACCCCUGAUGCAUAAAGUUAUCUCUGCGUUCCUCUCUGGGACUCUGGGAGUCACAGAAGCAAUGUCUGUCAACACACUGCCCUCUGGGAAGGCAUCUGGGAAAAACUUCUGAGGGGCAAUGUCACAGGAAAUGCAAAAAUGACUUGGGUUCAAAUGCCGUUUCUGUCAUUUAUUCACUGUAAAACUCUAAAUAAUUUUACCGAAUGUCAUUUUCCUCUUCUGUAAAAUGAAAAUUUUUACCUCACAAGGUUUUCAUUAAAAAUGCAUAUGGUAUAUUAUAGACCCU